GACGAACGCUGGCGGCGUGCUUAACACAUGCAAGUCGAACGACGACACAGGAGCUUGCUCCUCUGGAUUAGUGGCGAACGGGUGAGUAACACGUGAGCAAUCUGCCCCUCACUCCGGAAUAACUACGGGAAACUGUAGCUAAUACCGGAUAUGCGCCGAACAGGCAUCUGUAUCGGUGGGACAGAAAUUCGGUCAGGGAUGAGCUCGCGGCCUAUCAGCUUGUUGGUGAGGUAACGGCUCACCAAGGCGACGACGGGUAGCCGGCCUGGGAGGGUGGCCAGCCACAUUGGGACUACGGCACGGACCAGACUCCUACGGUAGGCAGCAGUGGGGAAUAUUGCACAAUGGGCGCAAGCCUGAGGCAGCAACGCCGCGUUAGGGAUGACGGCCUGCGGGUUGUAAACCUCUUUUAGCAGGGAAGAAGCGAAAGUGACGGUACCUGCAGAAAAAGCGCCGGCUAACUACGUG
rnacentral:rRNA from 1 species